ACAUCUACUUCAACUGCACCUUUGUUGCAUCUAACACACACUCUAGGUUGGGUCAGGUGAUCUCUGUGUGUGUGUGUGUGUGUGUGUUUGUGAAAAAAUGUUUC